UCGAGGAUCUUCGUCAAUGGGCGCAAGCCUGAACGAGCGACGCCGCGUGCGCGAUGAAGGCCUUCGGGUUGUAAAGCGCGAAAGUGGAGAGAAAGGGAAACUUGAUCAAUCCACAGUAAGGACGGGCUAAGUUCGUGCCAGCAGCCGCGGUAAGACGAACUGUCCUAACGUUGUUCGGAAUCACUGGGCUUAAAGGGCGCGUAGGCGGUCCGACAAGUCGGGGGUGAAAUCCUGCAGCUUAACUGCAGAAGUGCCUUCGAUACUGUCGGUCUGGAGGGAGAUAGGGGUGUGCGGAACUUCCAGUGGAGCGGUGAAAUGCGUUGAUAUUGGAAGGAACGCCGGAGGCGAAAGCGGCGCACUGGAUCUCUUCUGACGCUGAGGCGCGAAAGCUAGGGGAGCAAACGGGAUUAGAUACCCCCGUAGUCC
rnacentral:rRNA from 1 species